GGGGGAGUCUGUCAGUCAGACACAGAGGUCGAGCCGUGGAGCAGAUCUCGCGGCGGGGCUCCUCCCGGGGCUGGUACGUCCUGCCGGCCGCCGGCGACCUCCUCGUCGAUGAGUACGUGCAGCAGCCCGGAGAGGCGCCUGCAGCUGCAGGGGCCGCCAAAGGCUGGAUCUCGCAGAAUCGUGAGGUACUUGAGAAAGGGAGGGGAAUCAGAAUUGUUGUGGAGGAAAUGAAAAUAUCUUGUUAUUUGGCUGCUAACAUCCAUGUUCUUUUAGACUGAACAUUGCCAUGGGUGUUUCUCUACGCAGCGAAUAUAUUAGAUCAAGCAUCAUAUCAUGGACACCAUAAGACUUUUCUGUCUUGAUAAUGAUGUCUACAGGUUGGACCCUACUUUUGUUUAUGAGCUCAUUCAAGUAACUCUCCUAGCUCAAAUGGGUCAAUUUCAUGUUUACAUGAUAGAUGAUACACAAAUCUUCAGCCAUCCAUCUCCAUAUGAACUGGUCUUGCUUAAUUUUGUAGUCUUCUGGAUAUAUGCUUACAUAUAAUAAAUAAUGUGAAGGUAGAUCAUAGAACGACAACAUAAUCUUUAGUCUUGAACAAAUUAUGGUAGACUAGAGAUAGAACACUAUACGAACCAGACACAUACCGACGAUAUGGAAACUAGCAAAGAAAUAGUAAAAGAAGUUCCUGACUUGUAGAUUAUGUCAACGUGAUAAUCUGGAGUCAAGCUUCUUUUACUACUAAUUUUGAUCUACCUUGUCAUCGAUAGGAUUAGUUAUUAUAUCUAAGCAUGUGUUCAGAAGAUUAGGAGAUUAAGCAAGGUCACUUGAUAUGUAAAUGGAUGGCUGAAUGUUUUGUGUAUCAUGAAGAACAAGAGACUAGCCUAUUUGAGCUCGGUGGUAGAGUUACUCAAUGAGAUCAUAAAUAGAAGCAUGAUCGAUCAAUAGACAUCAAUGUUGAUGAAGGCAAUGAAAAAAAAUCUUAUGGUAUACAUGAUAUGAUGAUUGAUCCCAUAUGUUUUUGCCAAGUGAAGAAACCCACUUGCAUGGCACUGAGUGAAAACUGUCUAUCCAAAGGCAAGAUUUGAAUAUUAUCCAUCCGAAAGAGAAUGUCACAUAUGGUCGCCAUCAAAAGAAGCAACAAUGCCACAAGUGAGCUCUCUUGUAUAUCCAUGUGCUAUUGUUGAUUCAGUGCCGCGUAUGUUGAGUGAGCAUUUAUGUUCUACAUGUGUUAGGUUUAAAAUAUUGUGCUGAACACUUCCAUUCUUGCCAAUUGAGAUGGUGAGACUCAGGAACACUGCAUUUGCCAUGGUGUUUUGAUUUGUCUUGUGCAGCGACAUGAAAUUCUUAUUGUAAUUGUACCCACUAAUGACUGAAUACUGCUGUCACUUCGGUUAGAUUCAAGAAGCGCCAAGUUUCGGCGGCGCCUCCUGCACUUUGCUAAUGAUGAACUUCCCUCUCCAUUUCUUUCUUUUGUAAGGAAGAGUUAUGCACUUAUGAUGUAUGGCUGGCUGGUUAAUUUUCUGUCAAUUCAACAACCAGUUUGUAGGGCGGCCACUGCAAUUUGCUCGUAUGCACCAUUAGUUAUUAUAUAUGUACUGAUGUCUGGCUUGCUUGCUCUCCUGCAUUCUCGAUUACACUCCCUUGUUUGUAACAGCUUUAUUUCAGACUCGCAAACUAAGAGGCCGCAUUCAGUUUGUCCUAUGUUCUGAAGUUCCAUUUUCUGUUUGUCAUUUUGAUCAAAUAAACAGGGAAGUCAGCAGUGUCAUUUCGAUGUACCUGCUUAGGACCUGCAUUGAGUACAUCUUUCUGUUGGAAUACAAGUGGAACUUGAGUUGCCAUUUCGUCUCGUGGGUUGGUGAUGUACAUCUUUCUGUCAAUCACGCUGGAGUGGAAGUAUUGCCCUCAACUGAUGCAACGCUUUCUGGGCGAGAGAAUGAUUGGAUGUUGCCCCCAACUCAAGUGACUCUUCUAUCUCUGUACAGGGGAGCAAAUCAUGAGAUGUUUUAUUUUGCUAUUUUGCGACAAAAUCAUAUGGUGCCGCAGACAAAUAAGACCCGUCUACUAGCAACUUGAUAUGAUAAAUUCACAGAAGCAUCUUGUUCAGUUGCUCCCACAUACUUGUUCUUGUUCUUGUAGCAUCUAGUGAUUCCUCUUGCCACGGUCAAGCUACGUUGAUAGGCUGCUUUGGCCGAGCUGUCGUUGUUUGCACAGAUAUAUCAAACUGAAGUCUGUUUAAUUUGC
rnacentral:rRNA from 1 species